AGCCACAGCUCUGGCUUGUGUUUCCUCCAGCUGCCUGCAGCCCAGACUGACCCUCCUCAUCCAGCUUUUCCCCCUUAUCCAGCUCCCAUUCCCACACAAUUCCCCCUCUUACCUGGGGCAGCCAGGGAGACCAGGAGGAAGGCAGCAAGGACAAGACCUGCUAUCAGCCCCCGAUUCAAAGGGAAACCGUGGAGUGUGACAGGAGCGGCCGGGGAGCAGAUGGAACAGAUGUCCUGGGGCAGAGGGACCUCGCAGGGAAAAAGAUCAGUAUCACGGCCUUCCCAACCUUUGGCAGGGAUGCUGCAGGACUGGGAUGUGGCCAGGAUGCACUGACAGCUCUGCCUCUGUUGUCUAGAGCUGUCCCCACAUGGGCUGGACACGCUGAGAGGACCCGGUGUCUGUGUGUCACCCUCUUGGGAACCAUGACUGCAAACCCCUCUGAAGACAGGCCUGACUUCCAAUGGGACUGGUACCUGGUCAUCCUGCUUGGAGUGGAAGAGAUUUACUCUUGUGGAUGUCAGCAGGGCGU